rnacentral:rRNA from 1 species
CUACGGGUUGCAGCAGUUAGGUAUUUUUUGCAAUGCGCGCAAGCGUGACAAAGCGAGCCAGAGUGUUCCUCAUUGAGGAACUUUUGCCAAAUGUAAAAAAUUUGGCGAAUAAGGACUGGGCAAGACCGGUGCCAGCCGCCGCGGUAAUCCCGGCGGUCCAAGUCGCAGCCACAUUUAUUGGGUCUAAAACAUCCGUAGCUUGUUUAGUAAGUCUCUUGUGAAAUCUGGCAUCUUAAGUGUCAGGCGUGCAAGAGAUACUACUAGGCUAGAGACCGGAGGAUGCGAAGAGUACGGUCAAGGUAGUGGUAAAAUACGUUAAUCUUGAUUGGACUAACGACAGCGAAGGCACUUCGCAACGACGGAUCUGACAGUGAGGGAUGAAGGCUAGGGGCGCAAAAUGGAUUAGAUACCCGGGUAGUC